AUUGAACGCUGGCGGCAGGCCUAACACAUGCAAGUCGAGCGGAUGAAGGGAGCUUGCUCCUGGAUUCAGCGGCGGACGGGUGAGUAAUGCCUAGGAAUCUGCCUGGUAGUGGGGGAUAACGUCCGGAAACGGGCGCUAAUACCGCAUACGUCCUGCGGGAGCAAGUGGGGGAUCUUCGGACCUCACGCUAUCAGAUGAGCGUAGGUCGGAUUAGCUAGUUGGUGGGGUAAAGGCCUACCAAGGCGACGAUCCGUAACUGGUCUGAGAGGAUGAUCAGUCACACUGGAACUGAGACACGGUCCAGACUCCUGCGGGAGGCAGCAGUCGGGAAUAUUGGACAGUGGGCGAAAGCCUGAUCCAGCCAUGCCGCGUGUGUGAAGAAGGUCUUCGGAUUGUAAAGCACUUUAAGUUGGGAGGAACCGCAGUAAGUUAAUACCUUGCUGUUUUGACGUUACCAACAGAAUAAGCACCGGCUAACUUCGUG
rnacentral:rRNA from 1 species